GACGAACGCUGGCGGCGUGCUUAACACAUGCAAGUCGAACGAAGAGCGAUGGACGCUUGCUUCUAUCACUCUUAGUGGCGACCGGGUGAGUAACGCGUAAUCAACCUGCCCUUCAGAGGGGGACAACAGUUGGAAACGACUGCUAAUACCGCAUACGAUCUAAACUCGGCAUCGAGGAUAGAUGAAAGGUGGCCUCUACAUGUAAGCUAUCACUGAAGGAGGGGAUUGCGUCUGAUUAGCUAGUUGGAGGGGUAACGGCCCACCAAGGCGAUGAUCAGUAGCCGGUCUGAGGGGAUGAACGGCCACAUUGGGACUGAGACACGGCCCAGACUCCUACGGGAGGCAGCAGUGGGGAAUCUUCCGCAAUGGACGAAAGUCUGACGGAGCAACGCCGCGUGAGUGAUGACGGCCUUCGGGUUGUAAAGCUCUGUUAAUCGGGACGAAAGGCCUUCUUGCGAAUAGUGAGAAGGAUUGACGGUACCGGAAGAGAAAGCCACGGCUAACUACGUG
rnacentral:rRNA from 1 species